rnacentral:rRNA from 1 species
UACGAAGGGGGCUAGCGUUGCUCGGAAUCACUGGGCGUAAAGGGUGCGUAGGCGGGUCUUUAAGUCAGGGGUGAAAUCCUGGAGCUCAACUCCAGAACUGCCUUUGAUACUGAAGAUCUUGAGUCCGGGAGAGGUGAGUGGAACUGCGAGUGUAGAGGUGAAAUUCGUAGAUAUUCGCAAGAACACCAGUGGCGAAGGCGGCUCACUGGCCCGGUACUGACGCUGAGGUGCGAAAGCGUGGGGAGCAAACAGG